rnacentral:rRNA from 1 species
AUUGAACGCUGGCGGCAUGCCUUACACAUGCAAGUCGAACGGCAGCGGACCUUCGGGUGCCGGCGAGUGGCGAACGGGUGAGUAAUAUAUCGGAACGUACCUUUCGGUGGGGGAUAACGUAGCGAAAGUUACGCUAAUACCGCAUAUUCUGUGAGCAGGAAAGCAGGGGAUCGCAAGACCUUGCGCUGAUUGAGCGGCCGAUAUCAGAUUAGCUAGUUGGUGAGGUAAAGGCUCACCAAGGCGACGAUCUGUAGCGGGUCUGAGAGGAUGAUCCGCCACACUGGAACUGAGACACGGUCCAGACUCCUACGGGAGGCAGCAGUGGGGAAUUUUGGACAAUGGGCGCAAGCCUGAUCCAGCCAUGCCGCGUGAGUGAAGAAGGCCU